rnacentral:misc_RNA from 2 species
AACGCACCUUGCGCCUCUUGGUAUUCCGAGAGGCAUGCCUGUUUGAGUGUCAUGAAAUAUCAAUCCCCAAGGGUUUCUUACCUUCUGGAAGAUUGGACUUGGGCGUCUGCCUCCACAGGCUCGCCUCAAAUGACUCAGUGGGAUCCUGUGGCCUAUGCCCGACGUAAUAAGUUUCGUUAUGGCUGACCGCUUGGGCCUGCUUACAACAACCCAUAUCAUUUUGACAUUGACCUCAAAUCAGGUAGGGCUACCCGCUGAACUUAA